UAUACUUACCAAGCACAAGCACAAAAAUCAUCUUUACGCCAGUAAGAUCCCAAGGUCGGUGUCACUGCCUAUAUAGAUUCACUCACAAGUUCAUUCUCGUCUUAUCAAAUAUUAAAAUGACGCCACUGAAUAUUCUGGUAAGAAUUUCAAGACGAUUAUUCAAGACGAUAAUUUCCAUCUAAAAACUAUAAGUGUAUCGUGUAUUGUGUUG